AUCCAGAUGACGAGUCCUAAAUAAGACGAAACGCAUGUUGUGCAU
rfam:Schistosoma margrebowiei strain Zambia genome assembly, scaffold: SMRZ_contig0005769